rfam:Cajanus cajan CcLG07_219, whole genome shotgun sequence.
UCUAAUGUGACCUUGUUGCCAUCACCCACAUAGAUAAAUCUUUCAUUAUCACUUGGCAGUCCCGCAACGAGCGCAUCCCUCGUGUUUAGUUGCCAACGUUGAGUUUGGAACCCUGAGCAGACUGUCGGUGAUAAGCCGGAGGAAGGUGAGGAUGACGUCAAGUCAU